rnacentral:rRNA from 1 species
UUGUGACCCCCAGUCAGGCCGGAAUACCCG